rnacentral:rRNA from 1 species
AGCGAACGCUGGCGGCAGGCUUAACACAUGCAAGUCGAGCGGGACACCUUCGGGUGUCAGCGGCAGACGGGUGAGUAACACGUGGGAACGUGCCCUUUGGUUCGGGACAACUCCGGGAAACUGGAGCUAAUACCGGAUAAGCCCUUCGGGGAAGGAUUUAUUGCCAAAGGAUCGGCCCGCGUCUGAUUAGCUAGUUGGUGAGGUAAGUGGCUCACCAAGGCGACGAUCAGUAGCUGGUCUGAGAGGAUGAUCAGCCACACUGGGACUGAGACACGGCCCAGACUCCUACGGGA